rnacentral:rRNA from 1 species
UACGUAGGGUGCAAGCGUUAAUCGGAAUUACUGGGCGUAAAGCGUGCGCAGGCGGCUUGCAAGACAGAUGUGAAAUCCCCGGGCUUAACCUGGGAACUGCAUUUGUGACUGCAUGGCUGGAGUGCGGCAGAGGGGGGGAUGGAAUCCGCGUGUAGCAGUGAAAUGCGUAGAUAUGCGGAGGAACACCGAUGGCGAAGGCAA